CGCGCCGCAGCCGUGAGCCCGGGCCGGUUCGGAGGAUGUCGGACGGACCCGUGAAUAAAAUCCGAGUGAAACGGCAGAUCAGAACCAUCGUGAAGGAUUUGGAGAACAUUUUAGGGGACCUGAAGGAUGUUGCGAAGGAACUCAAAGAGGUGGUGAAUGAGAUCGACUGUCUCACAUCAGAUCUUCAUCUGGAGGAGAUGACAGACAGCUCAAAGACAGACACGCUGAACAGCAGCUCGAGCAGCACCACGACCACCACCGUGUCCAGCAUCGACAAAAUCAAGAUCUACCCCGAGGAGAUGCUGUUCAGACCAGCGGCGGUCCCGCCGGCGGUCCUGAAGAGACCUCACCCGCCCCUGCCAGCGCCCCGAAUGACCCCGAGCAGACCCGAGGAGCCUAGCGAUGGGACACUGCCCGUGGCUAACGGGACAGUGAUGCGGAACCGGGUUUCCCCCGUGAGACCCAUCGACGUGUGCAGCACAGUGUCGUGUUGUGGGUUGAAAAGCGUGCCGGCACCCGCCGCACCUCUGCUGAAACACGAGAAGAGCCGCUGUCCACAGACCCCGAGGGAGCGCGUGCGAUUCAGCGAGAAGGUCCAGUAUCUCGGCUACUGUCCGGACUGCGACAUGCAGUGUCACGUGAACGACACGGAUCUGCACUUACACACGGAACUGAUUGACGGCAAGCUGAGUCCCGUACAUCAGUGCCCGUCCUCGCCACCCACUCAAGUGCUCGAUGCCAGCCUCGGGUUCCCCUCGCAAAUACCACACAAGACCAUUUUACGCCACAAGUCCACCACCACAACCGUUUGAGUCUAAUGAGUGUCUUUCUAGUGUCCUUUUAUUUGAAGAGCUCGGUCCUCUCCAGCUGAAGACACAAGAGAACCACCGAAACGCGGUGCUCCGAAGAGAACGUGCUGCACGUCACCGCAGAUGUUGAACGGUCUGUGGAACAAUCGUCUUCAUCACAACCGCUCACAUCACUCACAGACACAAGUCACACGGGACAGACGCUGAGCGGCUCUUCAGUCUGUCAUAUAAUGUUGUUUACAGGUGAAUGAAUCAUUAGAUAACAUCAUGACCUGCUGCCAAACUCUACCAACACUGUGUAGAGCGGCACUAUAGACAUAUACGUUUGUAAAGAUAUGAUAUGUUUUUGUUAACCUUCAAAGAGCAUAUUUUUGAUAUUC